rnacentral:tRNA from 1 species
GUUCCCGUAACUCAGAGGUAGAGUGAUGUUCUUAUACUUACGUCAGCAAGCGUGAGAAAUGCAUAGGUCGCGAGUUCGAUCCUCGCCGGGAGCA